AUUGAACGCUGGCGGAAUGCUUUACACAUGCAAGUCGAACGGCAGCACGGACUUCGGUCUGGUGGCGAGUGGCGAACGGGUGAGUAAUGUAUCGGAACGUGCCCAGUCGUGGGGGAUAACGUAGUGAAAAUUACGCUAAUACCGCAUACGAUCUAUGGAUGAAAGCGGGGGAUCGCACGACCUCGCGCGAUUGGAGCGGCCGAUAUCAGAUUAGGUAGUUGGUGGGGUAAAGGCCCACCAAGCCAACGAUCUGUAGCUGGUCUGAGAGGACGACCAGCCACGCUGGAACUGAGACACGGUCCAGACUCCUACGGGAGGCAGCAGUGGGUAAUUUUGGACAAUGGGCGAAAGCCUGAUCCAGCCAUUCCGCGUGCAGGAUGAAGGCCCUCGGGUUGUAAACUGCUUUUGUACAGAACGAAAAGGUUUCUACUAAUACUAGGAGCUCAUGACGGUACUGUAAGAAUAAGCACCGGCUAACUACGUGCCAGCAGCCGCGGUAA
rnacentral:rRNA from 1 species